rnacentral:rRNA from 1 species
CGGCCUAUCAGCUUGUUGGUGAGGUAAUGGCUCACCAAGGCGACGACGGGUAGCCGGCCUGAGAGGGUGACCGGCCACACUGGGACUGAGACACGGCCCAGACUCCUACGGGAGGCAGCAGUGGGGAAUAUUGCACAAUGGGCGAAAGCCUGAUGCAGCAACGCCGCGUGAGGGAUGACGGCCUUCGGGUUGUAAACCUCUUUUAGUAGGGAAGAAGCGAAAGUGACGGUACCUGCAGAAAAAGCACCGGCUAACUACGUGCCAGCAGCCGCGGUAAUACGUAGGGUGCAAGCGUUGUCCGGAAUUAUUGGGCGUAAAGAGCUCGUAGGCGGUUUGUCGCGUCUGCUGUGAAAUCCCGAGGCUCAACCUCGGGCUUGCAGUGGGUACGGGCAGACUAGAGUGCGGUAGGGGAGAUUGGAAUUCCUGGUGUAGCGGUGGAAUGCGCAGAUAUCAGGAGGAACACCGAUGGCGAAGGCAGAUCUCUGGGCCGUAACUGACGCUGAGGAGCGAAAGCAUGGGGAGCGAACAGGAUUAGAUACCCUGGUAGUCCAUGCCGUAAACGUUGGGCGCUAGAUGUAGGGACCUUUCCACGGUUUCUGUGUCGUAGCUAACGCAUUAAGCGCCCCGCCUGGGGAGUACGGCCGCAAGGCUAAAACUCAAAGGAAUUGACGGGGGCCCGCACAAGCGGCGGAGCAUGCGGAUUAAUUCGAUGCAACGCGAAGAACCUUACCAAGGCUUGACAUACACCGGAAACGGCCAGAGAUGGUCGCCCCCUUGUGGUCGGUGUACAGGUGGUGCAUGGUUGUCGUCAGCUCGUGUCGUGAGAUGUUGGGUUAAGUCCCGCAACGAGCGCAACCCUCGUUCUAUGUUGCCAGCGGGUUAUGCCGGGGACUCAUAGGAGACUGCCGGGGUCAACUCGGAGGAAGGUGGGGAUGACGUCAAAUCAUCAUGCCCCUUAUGUCUUGGGCUUCACGCAUGCUACAAUGGCCGGUACAAAGGGCUGCGAUGCCGUAAGGUGGAGCGAAUCCCAAAAAGCCGGUCUCAGUUCGGAUUGAGGUCUGCAACUCGACCUCAUGAAGUCGGAGUCGCUAGUAAUUCGCAGAUCAGCAAC